CCUACGGUGAGCAGCAGUGAGGAAUAUUGGUCAAUGGACGGAAGUCUGAACCAGCCAUGCCGCGUGCAGGAAGACGGCUCUAUGAGAUGUAAACUGCUGUUGUACAAGGGUAAACCUGAAUACGUGGAUUCAGCUGAAAGUACUGUACGAAGAAGGAUCGGCCAACUCCUUGCCAGCAGCCGCGGUAAUACGGAGGAGCCAAGCGUUAUCCGGAUUUAUUGGGUUUAAAGGUUGCGUAGGCGGAUUGAUAAGUUAGAGGUGAAAUGUCCGAGCUUAACUCGGGAACUGUCUCUAAUAAUGUUGAUCUAGAGAGUAGAUGCGGUAGGCGGAAUGUAUGGUGUAGCGGUGAAAUGCUUAGAGAUCAUACAGAACACCGAUUGAGAAGGCAGCUUACCAAUCUAUAUCUGACGUUGAGGCACGAAAGCGUGGGGAGCAAACAGGAUUAGAUACCCGGGUAGUC
rnacentral:rRNA from 1 species